GGACGCCGAGCGGCGGCGGCAGUGGCCCCUGCUUCCCGUCGUGCGGCUGUACGUGUGCUGGCUGGCCGAGUCGCCCCAGGCGCUGUCCAUGGAGCCGUUCUCGACGCGGCCGCAGCUGUGGGCACACCUCUGCCACCUGGUGAACAGCAUGGAAGUCACCGCCGAGAUGAUCACUGAAGCCGCCGACUCGAACCGGCCGCUGCCGGAGGACCUGGAUCCUGGC
rnacentral:lncRNA from 1 species